rnacentral:rRNA from 1 species
UACGUAGGGGGCAAGCGUUGCCCGGAUUUAUUGGGCGUAAAGAGCGUGUAGGCGGCCUGACAGGUCUGCUGUGAAAACUCGAGGCUCAACCUCGAGAUGUCGGCGGAAACCGUCUGGCUAGAGUCCGGAAGAGGAGAGUGGAAUUCCUGGUGUAGUGGUGAAAUGCGUAGAGAUCAGGAGGAACACCGGUGGCGAAGGCGGCCCACUGGGCCAGCACUGACGCUGAGGCGCGAAAGCGCGGGGAGCGAACGGG